UGCUGUGGACAUGACCGUAAAGCAAAAUCCCAACUAGGUUUUUCUUCCUGCUACUAUGUUAGCAUUUAGCCUGUUGGGAACAUUU
ensembl:snoRNA